rnacentral:lncRNA from 1 species
CCGCCUCCUCUGUCUUUUUUUUUUUUUACUCUCACUUUUGUUGGAAGCCUACAAACCGAAAGCUUCUUUAUCAAAUGGUAAGUUCUCAUCAAAUACGAGCAUGUUUAUAUAUUUCUUUUUAAGAUAAUUAAACAAUAAUGUUAAAUUUAUAAACUUGAUUUAUAUUAAUAUAUAUUGUCAUAGUAUGUUACUAGUAUCUGUUUGAAAAACAUGGAUCUAGUUUAUGGACUUAUAUAUUCUUAUUUUUUUAGUAUAUUCUUAUUUUUUUAGUGAAAUUAAUUUUUUUUAAACAUUUUGUUAGUUUAUAUAAUAAGUUGUGGCAGAAAGAUCUUACUCACAAAUUAUAUUUCUUAUUAUUUAAUGUUCUGUGAUUUUGCUAUCAGGUAAGAAGAGAUUCAAUAAAUGUAUGCAUCAAAAACAUCAAUGGCGGCCGGAUCAGGUAAGAAGAUAAAUUUUGUGAUGCCUAAACUGUAGGUAAAGGACAACUGGAUCAGAUAUACUUUCAAUCAUAUCAAUGAUUUAAAUAUAAAGAAAAUUUGAGUAUAUAUUUUUGACUUUUGUAAUCAUAUCAUAAAAUUUUGACAUUUUUUAGGAUUUUAUUUUUAUUUUUACUAUUAGAAGAUAACUUGUAAUAAUAUUUUAGCUUUAAAUAAUUUGAAUUUUAUACAAUAUUAUUUCUUGUUGUUGUGCUUUCU